UACGGAGGGUGCAAGCGUUAUCCGGAUUCACUGGGUUUAAAGGGUGCGUAGGUGGGCAAGUAAGUCAGUGGUGAAAUCUCCGGGCUUAACCCGGAAACUGCCAUUGAUACUAUCUGUCUUGAAUACUGUGGAGGUCAGCGGAAUAUGUCAUGUAGCGGUGAAAUGCUUAGAUAUGACAUAGAACACCAAUUGCGAAGGCAGCUGGCUACACAAAUAUUGACACUGAGGCACGAAAGCGUGGGGAUCAAACAGG
rnacentral:rRNA from 1 species